AUCACUUGCAUUCUGCUUACCAAGGAUGUCUUCCUAUCGGUUGUUACGGGUCCAACAAAACCCUUCCCUGUCCUGACGAAAACUGUGAGUACUGUCACAGAGAGACGGGCACCUGUCAGGGCUGUAAACCUGGAUACAAAGGUCACCGAUGUGAAUUAGGUUGUGAUACAGGAUCUUUUGGUUCCGAAUGCAGUGAAACAUGUGGACACUGUCGUGACAUAAACCAGUGUUCCAUUAUCAAUGGGAUGUGUUUAACCGGAUGUGAUGCUGGUUAUCAAGGGUACCUCUGUAAAUCAUCUUGUGACAGAGGGUCAUAUGGAGUUAAAUGCCAAGAAACAUGUGGACACUGUCGUGACUUGGACCAGUGCUCUAAUAUCAAUGGCAUGUGUUUGACUGGAUGUGGUGCUGGUUAUCAAGGGGACUUGUGUAAAUCAUCUUGUGGAAGAGGAUUUUUUGGUUCCAAAUGCAAAGAAACAUGUGGACACUGUCGUGACGUAAAUCAGUGCUCCAUUAUCAAUGGAACGUGUUUGACCGGAUGUGCUGAUGAUUAUCAAGGGAACUUGUGUAAAACGCCUUGCCCUGUUGGAUAUUUAUGGAAAAACUGUUCCGAAAUAUGUAUCAGCAGUUUCACGUGUGAUGUCUGUAACAAUGAUAAUGCUUUGUGUGAUUAUAGAUGUAGUCCUGGAUGGAUUGGAUACUUUUGUCAAAAAAGUAAGAAACUAAGUUCUUUUAAUUUUGACGUUUGAAAAUAUUUUUUCUGUCUAAAAACAUGUCUAUUAUUUUCGAGCGUCACCAAAAAUAAAUAUAUUAUUAAAAUAUAAAAUGCGAAAUAAGGAAUGCCAAAAAAAAAUCAAAUUUUCCAACAAACAAUUUAUGUUUGUAAACAAACGUGUACUUAAGCGUCACUGGUUUGAAAACAUCGAGUUUACAGGUGAGUGUGUACAUUUCUUCUGUUAUAUUUUCAAAAGCAUCAUUAAAAUACUAAAUAAGUAAACUAACAAAAAAAAUAAAUACAUAUUCUAAUAAGGAAUAAAAUUUGAAAUCGAGUAAACAUUAUUUUAUAUUAUUAUAUACCUUGGAUUUCUCUUAAUUUGAAAGAUUUUUCUCUCUCAAAAAAUCCAAAUUGCCAGGAUCUUAUGUACAACUGCACGUUGUCGCGUUUGUGUUUGGAGAUACUUGGUAUGGGUGAAUUUUUUUGAAUUUAUACGUGGGUGAAUUUUUACACCUUUGAUGUAAAGUAUAUAUUGCUAGAAUUAUGUGUUCUGAAUUAAGCAUAACUUCAAUUGUUUUCACAAUACCAGACGUUAUUGUGUUCGUGUUUGGAGAUUGUUGGUGUGUGUAAAACAGCGGGAAAUGUAAUCAGUGCGUCGUACUUGCAUGUGGAAUAUAUAAAGCAAUAUCAUUUGGGGUUUGAAAAAGGUUUAUUUGAUUGUAAAUGGUACGUGUAAUCAACUUAUUAACACAUUGAAAUUCUAAUGGAUGCUUAAGCAAAAUGUAAGUGUUUUUGAAAAUAUUUAUUAGCCGCUACAUUCAUAAUUCAUUAUUUUAAUUUAGUAAGCAAUUCCAUUGUUUGUCAUUACUAUGUUUAUUCCUUAACUUGGAUAUAUUUCAAAACAGUAAAAAUUGAUCGAUUUAGAUAUAUUUUAAAUUUGUAUGCCUUUCUCUUUAUUUAAAGUACAGUUUUACACAUACUUUGAUUCAUCUUAAAGAAAUAGCAGGUGCAAUUUUGUGGUCGAAAAUGGUGAAGGAAAAUCAAAAUUUACUAAUUUACUAACAAAAUAUGUUUUUGUAAAUUCAUUUUUUUUUUUUAGAAAACGAAGCUGAUCACAAAAUAAAUGUUUAUCUUAUGAGCACAAAGUACUAUAGUUCGAGGACAAGAUGGUUUGGAGCAUCAAUCAAGAAGAAUACCAAUGUGAUGGUGAGGUUGGAAGUUCAACAAAGCUGAACCUUCGUCUAAUUAAGUCACGUGAAAAAGAACUGUUCUUUUAAAAACCCAAACAAUAUUUAUUUCAUUAAAAAUUAUUAUCUCAAUAAACAAUGUCUUUUAUUGAUUUCAAUAUGAUUUAGUAAGCAACGCUUAAUUUGUUUCUUUUUAUAAUAAAUUUGGUUUAUUAUCAUUCUUAUGUAAUAUCUUUCAUAAUUCCGAAGUUAAAUUAUUACGAGGAACACCUUUUUUGAAUCAAUGAAAAAAACGUUGACCAGAAGUAUGUUUUAAAAUCUUAAUUUUAUAUUAUUGAGAAUUAUAUUCAAUAUUUUAUUUUCAUGCAUUUUGGGACGUCUUCUGUAUCUGUUAACCACAUGACGCGCUUAGCCUUAAACACUGCAAUUGAUCUGUCUAAAUUGGAUCGGUACAGCUGAUUAAUGCUAUUAUGCAAGGAAUAUUUUAAUGAAAGAUCGUUUAAUUAGUCAUAUAUGUUACAGUCACUCUAAAUUGUGUCAUUUCUAGUUUGACAUGGUAAACUAAAAGACGCCAAACUUUAAAAAAGGUACAUUGUACAAACUAUAGCAGUAUUCGUAACAUAGGAAUACUCAAAGAUUGAUUUAAUGCGAUACACAUUUAAUGACAAUUCAUUAACAGAAAACUCUAUACUGUAUGAGACUGUCAAACAUUCCAAAUGACAAAAAAUUAUUUUCACCGCCAUUUAUAUUCUUCCGAUAUAAGUUUUAAAAUCUGAUGUUCUCCAUGCUAUCCAUUUAAGAUUUCACAAUAUCCACAUGUAGGGCCUCCGACUUAUAGACAAUAUGAUAUUACUUACCUUGAAAAUCAUUCAUUUUAGCUUUUUUUAUCCUUAGCUUAAAAAUAGAAAAUUGUCUCCACUAGCUUAAAAUACUGUUUGAA